rfam:Akkermansia sp. KLE1798 genomic scaffold Scaffold46, whole genome shotgun sequence.
UUGAUGGAGAGUUUGAUUCUGGCUCAGAACGAACGCUGGCGGCGUGGAUAAGACAUGCAAGUCGAACGGGAGAAUUGCUAGCUUGCUAAUAAUUCUCUAGUGGCGCACGGGUGAGUAACACGUGAGUAACCUGCCUCUUAGUGGGGGAUAGCCCUGGGAAACCGGGAUUAAUACCGCAUACGAUUGAAAGAUCAAAGCAGCAAUGCGCUAGGAGAUGGGCUCGCGGCCUAUUAGUUAGUUGGUGAGGUAACGGCUCACCAAGGCGAUGACGGGUAGCCGGUCUGAGAGGAUGUCCGGCCACACUGGAACUGAGACACGGUCCAGACACCUACGGGUGGCAGCAGUCGAGAAUCAUUCACAAUGGGGGCAACCCUGAUGGUGCGACGCCGCGUGGGGGAAUGAAGGUCUUCGGAUUGUAAACCCCUGUCAUGUGGGAGCAAAUUAAAAAGAUAGUACCACAAGAGGAAGAGACGGCUAACUCUGUGCCAGCAGCCGCGGUAAUACAGAGGUCUCAAGCGUUGUUCGGAAUCACUGGGCGUAAAGCGUGCGUAGGCUGUUUCGUAAGUCGUGUGUGAAAGGCAGGGGCUCAACCCCUGGAUUGCACAUGAUACUGCGAGACUAGAGUAAUGGAGGGGGAACCGGAAUUCUCGGUGUAGCAGUGAAAUGCGUAGAUAUCGAGAGGAACACUCGUGGCGAAGGCGGGUUCCUGGACAUUAACUGACGCUGAGGCACGAAGGCCAGGGGAGCGAAAGGGAUUAGAUACCCCUGUAGUCCUGGCAGUAAACGGUGCACGCUUGGUGUGCGGGGAUUCGACCCCCUGCGUGCCGGAGCUAACGCGUUAAGCGUGCCGCCUGGGGAGUACGGUCGCAAGAUUAAAACUCAAAGAAAUUGACGGGGACCCGCACAAGCGGUGGAGUAUGUGGCUUAAUUCGAUGCAACGCGAAGAACCUUACCUGGGCUUGACAUGUAAUGAACAGCAUGUGAAAGCAUGCGACUCUUCGGAGGCGUUACACAGGUGCUGCAUGGCCGUCGUCAGCUCGUGUCGUGAGAUGUUUGGUUAAGUCCAGCAACGAGCGCAACCCCUGUUGCCAGUUACCAGCGAGUAAAGUCGGGGACUCUGGCGAGACUGCCCAGAUCAACUGGGAGGAAGGUGGGGACGACGUCAGGUCAGUAUGGCCCUUAUGCCCAGGGCUGCACACGUACUACAAUGCCCAGUACAGAGGGGGCCGAAGCCGCGAGGCGGAGGAAAUCCUGAAAACUGGGCCCAGUUCGGACUGUAGGCUGCAACCCGCCUACACGAAGCCGGAAUCGCUAGUAAUGGCGCAUCAGCUACGGCGCCGUGAAUACGUUCCCGGGUCUUGUACACACCGCCCGUCACAUCAUGGAAGCCGGUCGCACCCGAAGUAUCUGAAGCCAACCGCAAGGAGGCAGGGUCCUAAGGUGAGACUGGUAACUGGGAUGAAGUCGUAACAAGGUAGCCGUAGGGGAACCUGCGGCUGGAUCACCUCCUUU